rnacentral:rRNA from 1 species
AUUGAACGCUGGCGGCAGGCCUAACACAUGCCAGUCGAGCGGUAGCACAGGGAGCUUGCUCCUGGGUGACGAGCGGCGGACGGGUGAGUCAUGUCUGGGAAACUGACUGAUGGGGGGGGAUAACUACUGGAAACGGUAGCUAAUACAGCAUAAAGUCGCAAGAACAAAGAGGGGGACCUUCGGGCCACUUGCCAUCAGAUGUGACCGGAUGGGAUUAGCUAGUAGGUGGGGUAACGGCUCACCUAGGCGAGGAACACUAGCUGGUCUGAGAGGAUGACCAGCCACACUGGAACUGAGACACGGUCCAGAGUCCUACGGGAGGCAGCAGUGGGGAAUAUUGCACAAUGGGCGCAGGCCUGAUGCAGCCAUGCCGCGUGUAUGAAGAAGGACUUCGGGUUGUAAAGUACUUUCAGCGGGGAGGAAGGCGAUAAGGUUAAUAACCUUGUCGAUUGACGUUACCCGCAGAAGAAGCACCGGCUAACUCCGUGCCAGCCGCCGCCGUAA